CAUCCAGAUUCCUUACCCGUCAGACCUAAACACCGGUCUGAGUGGUUGCAAAAGAAGAACGAGUUCAACAGAAACUGACUCACAUUCUUUUGUGGCACACCAGCGAGGGUUUCAUUCAAACAAAC
rnacentral:snoRNA from 1 species